CGGUCUCUUCUGACCCUGAGUACCUCCCACCUCCUCACGGGUUUUCCUGCUAAAUGAAGCCUACUUGUAAAAGAAGCCCAGCUGACUGUCUUGCAGAGCACCGCCCGCUCUGGGUUUCUGCACGGGUGCCCCGUGGUGCCAGGGUGCCGCUUAGCUUGUUCUAGCCCUCCUGCAUCCUGUAGACUUGAAGUGAGCCUAAUGCCUGCUUGGGGCACACUCAUUCUGGCAGAGACACUGGCACAUGGGUAAACAAGCAGCUCUGCAGUGACUUCAGUGUGCAGGGAUGAUCCCUGCCUCAGCCACAGGGACUCGGUGACAGACGCCUCCCUGGCUGAUGAUUCCCAGCAGACAACCUCAUGCUUUUCAAGACCCAACCUUGUAGGAUGUACGUUUCUCCAUUGCAAUGGUUUUUGGCUGACUUCUAUAUAGAAAACCUGCGUUUACUUUCCUCCAAACUCUGUUUUAUACAAAACAGGUGUAGUACAAGAUGCAUUCCACACACAGCUGGUAGAACACCAAAAUCACUUUUUCCUGAAAACCUACAGCACAGUUCAGCAAAGGGGAUGUGUGUCUUGCAUGCUGACUGAAUCAAAGGUGUUAUCUGUGACUUCACAUGAACCUGAGAUUCAAGAAAGAGCAAGAGAGAAGCCAGUCUUUUCCUGACCCAACCACAGAGCUCAUUUUCAACUGUAGGUUAAAACCUUUUUCCUGAUGUGCAAAGCAUUUCCAAAGCCCUAACUGUGUGAACGUGUGUACUCAGAGAAGUCGGUCCCACGCCUGCCUCCUUGCACCCCCACUGUGGCCACUAGGGAAAGCCGGACGCUCUCUGAAGAUGAGGAGAGGAGAACGUACAGGGUGUAAGUGGGGUGAGCAGCGUGGCUAGACAAGGAAGAGUCACGCCUCGGACCCAGCAGGAAUCCUGGACCAGACCCACCACACGGAGGACAGCACUCACGCUGCAGCGUCUCAGAGGGUCUCACAGCUCCUUACGUCCUGUCCACCUACUGGCUCUACAGAACUGCUCCCGAGAAACAUGCCUAAUACCAUGAGGCAAACACAGGGAGGAGCUGCCCGGGCACAGCAGAGGGCGCAGAGGGGGCCACUCCCGGUGGUGGCCCUCCUCCCGGCAAGAGGCCCCCAGGAGGAAGGGGCAGAGAGGAGAGCCUGGGUGCUGGGAAGGGCAGGUCUGGAGCGGGCCUGGGAUUCACAGGAUGGAAGAGAGGCGGGCGGAUGCCUGGCCCUGGGCGUCGGGCGUGUGGAGACCACGCUGUGUCCAUAGUGUGUAUGCCUUGACCCUUUGCUCUAAGAUGUGCCCAGCAGACACUUUCCAAUA